CUGUGGACUUUUUUAACCAAGUGAACAUCCUCUAUGGUACUCUCACUGAAUUCUGCACUCCAACUAGUUGUCCAGUCAUGAAUGCUGGACCAGUAUACUCGUAUAAGUGGGCUGAUGGGGUUACCACAAAAGAACCAAUAAAGGUCUCUACUCCAAAAUAUGUUUGAGUACUUAAUGGAAUGGAUUGAAGUUCAGCUAGAUGAUGAGUCAAUAUUCCCUCAAAGAUUGGAUGUGGUGAAGACAAUCUUCAAGAGGCUAUUUCGUGUGUAUGAUUUUUUAAUUUAAAUGCUCAUAUGUUUUUUUUUUGUUUAAUUGUAUUAUAUUUAAGUAGUAAGAAUCAGUGAUGAGUUAGGGGAGUAGGACAAAGCAUCACCCAAAAAUUAAAUAUAUGAAUAAUAUAUGUUAAAAAUUACUUUUAUAUAAUCUUUUUGAAAAAUAAAAAAAUGAUUCCCUAACUUUUUGCUUUUCACUACCUAUAUAGGUACUACUAAAGUGGCUUAAUAAAGACUCACAUUCAUAACUUCUUUUG